rnacentral:lncRNA from 12 species
AUCACCGCGGGACUAUUGCCAAGAUUAAGAAGAAGGACGUGUGGUGCUUAGCAUGUGCUUGGCAACUAGUUGAUGCUGAAAAACUGGUGGCUCUUAUUUUGUUAGAAAAAAAAUGAAACUAGUAGUGAUGUCUCCCAAUUUCUUCCAUAAUAAUUAUGAAGAAGUAUUUUUAUACGUGUAAAGAGUCUAGUGUGGUAAUAAAAUACGUUUUAGUAGAAAAUUUUUUACUAAACUUCCGUUUGGCACUAAAAUGUUGACGUGGCAAAAUAAGUUAACUAAUUAAUUAAGUAAUUUAAAAAAUAUUGGUGUGGCCACUUUUAAAGACUCAUCUGAUUAGCUAGAUCAUCGUUUUGGACAAUGGUCAGUAGUUUAUGAAUGUGCACUAUAGUCUCAAAUUUUUUAUUUUAUUUUAUUUUUAAAGAUUUUAUUUGUUUAUCCGUGAGAGACAGAGAGAGAGGCAGAGACACAGGAAGAGGAAGAAACAGUCUCCAUGCAGGGAGCCCGAUGCAGGACUCCAUCCUGGAUCCCAGGAUCACGCCCUGGGCCAAAGGCAGACACUCAACCGCGGAGCCACACAGAUGCCCCAGUCUCAAAAAUUUUAAAUCCACCCUGAGUAGUUAAUACUACAGGAAGAGGAAUCACGUGGAAAGGAGACAUCGGGGAGGCUCCAAGUGUCCCAAACCGGGAUUGAAGAGCUGCAGUUCAAAGAUCAGGCUAAGCAAACUCCCGCGGCAGCAAGCCACCCACCAGGAGUUCCAGCUACAGAAGUUUGCCAUGUUUUUCCCCAGGAAGGGCCUGGAAGCUGCUGCGACACCCUAUUCCUCUUACCCAUCUGUAACCCUCACUCGAGAAAAGGGCAAAGUUUAAGUAAAAAUCUCUGGCACGACAGAGAUGUUGUGUGUGUGUGAAAUGAAAAUGUAUAUACUCAAACCGUGGGUCAACUAUGGUUUAAAGUACGUCCUGACUUCCUGCCGUUCUUUUCUGAGGUACGGAAAUAUUUCAAGGCAAUUUCAAGAAACCGGAUUUCAAGAAACUACUAAAACCUUUUUUGUGAGUCGCUUUCCUUUUGUUGGAACUUAAAUGUGUAUUUCAACACGUUGCUGUGCCAGCCUAUGUCAUUU